rnacentral:rRNA from 1 species
CCUACGGGAGGCAGCAGUGGGGAAUAUUGCACAAUGGGGGAAACCCUGAUGCAGCAACGCCGCGUGAGUGAAGAAGUAUUUCGGUAUGUAAAGCUCUAUCAGCAGGGAAGAAAAUGACAGUACCUGACUAAGAAGCCCCGGCUAACUACGUGCCAGCAGCCGCGGUAAUACGUAGGGGGCCAGCGUUAUCCGGAUUUACUGGGUGUAAAGGGAGCGUAGACGGCUGCGCAAGUCAGAAGUGAAAGCCCGGGGCGCAACCGCGGGACUGCUUUUGAAACUGUGUAGCUAGAGUGCAGGAGAGGUAAGUGGAAUUCCUAGUGUAGCGGUGAAAUGCGUAGAUAUUAGGAGGAACACCGGUGGCGAAGGCGGCUUACUGGACUGUAACUGACGUUGAGGCUCGAAAGCGUGGGGAGCAAACAGGAUUAGAUACCCGUGUAGUC